rnacentral:rRNA from 1 species
ACUCCUACGGGAGGCAGCAGUGGGAAUCUUGGACAAUGGGGCAACCGUAGCAUCCAGCCAUGCCGCGUGAGUGAUGAAGGCCUUAGGGUCGUAAAGCUCUUUCGCCUGUGAAGAUAAUGACGGUAGCAGGUAAAGAAACCCGCCGUACAUCCGUGCCAGCAGCCGCGGUAAUACGGAGGGGUUAGCGUUGUUCGGAAUUACUGGGCGUAAAGCGCACGUAGGCGGAUCGGAAAGUUGGGGUGAAAU